UACAGAGGUCCCAAGCGUUGUUCGGAUUUAUUGGGCGUAAAGGGUGCGUAGGCGGUUGCCUAAGUCAGAUGUGAAAUCUCGGGGCUCAACCCCGAAACUGCAUUUGAUACUGGGUGACCCGAGUACUGGAGAGGAGACUGGAAUUUACGGUGUAGCAGUGAAAUGCGUAGAUAUCGUAAGGAAGACCAGUGGCGAAGGCGAGUCUCUGGACAGUUACUGACGCUGAGGCACGAAGGCUAGGGGAGCAAACGGG
rnacentral:rRNA from 1 species